AUCGCGCUAGGAGGCAAAAAAGGUCUUUUUUAAUUAUUUUUUACUGUUUUCCUUUUUUUCAUAUUACGAAAGUUAAAGUGUUGAAGAAGUCACUCAAUAGAAUAAACAACAUUUUUAGGGUCACUAAAUACUUAUAAUUUGUCAGCAAAGUCGGCUUGUUUUAGUGAUUCUUAAAGCCGGGUUUUGGAGGCGUGAUGGGGGUGCAGUUUAAUUAGCAUGUUUGAUUUCGUUGGCUAUUGUCACUUUGUUUCGGUCAAGCCACCGCCCAUAAAUAAAGCCGUGUGGUAGUAACCUAUGUUUGUUUACUGUGUGAGGUUGCUAAAAUGGCGGACGCUCAAUCAGUAGAUACGAUUUCAUCAUUGUUAUAGAAAACUUAAGGCAGCUAACCCUGAAACAAGCAGGAGCUGAAGAUGGCUACAAUACAGGCCUGGCAGAGCAUCACCAGAGAAAAUAGUCAGCACCUG